rnacentral:pre_miRNA from 1 species
UCAGUAACCAGAUAUCAUCCCUGCUGUGUAAACUCAAUGGUCAGGAAUGGUUCUUGUUACUUACU